rnacentral:miRNA from 1 species
GUGAGAGAGGGAGAGAGAGAGCUCAGGAUUUAGCUUAAGGUUAUUUGACUUUCGCUCUCUCUCUCUCUCUCUCUC